rnacentral:rRNA from 1 species
AACGAACGCUGGCGGCAGGCUUAACACAUGCAAGUCGAGCGCCCCGCAAGGGGAGCGGCAGACGGGUGAGUAACGCGUGGGAAUCUACCCAUCUCUACGGAAUAACGCAUGGAAACGUGUGCUAAUACCGUAUACGUCCUUCGGGAGAAAGAUUUAUCGGAGAUGGAUGAGCCCGCGUUGGAUUAGCUAGUUGGUGGGGUAAAGGCCGACCAAGGCGACGAUCCAUAGCUGGUCUGCGAGGAUGAUCAGCCACACUGGGACUGAGACACGGCCCAGACUCCUACGGGAGGCAGCAGUGGGGAAUAUUGGACAAUGGGCGCAAGCCUGAUCCAGCCAUGCCGCGUGAGUGAUGAAGGCCCUAGGGUUGUAAAGCUCUUUCACCGGUGAAGAUAAUGACGGUAACCGGAGAAGAAGCCCCGGCUAACUUCGUGCCAGCAGCCGCGGUAAUAC